rnacentral:rRNA from 1 species
ACUUCCGUUAAUUGAUUAUGACGUACUUGUACUGAUUGAGAUUUUAACACGAAGUGAGUGGCGAACGGGUGAGUAACACGUGGGUAACCUGCCCAGAAGUAGGGGAUAACACCUGGAAACAGAUGCUAAUACCGUAUAACAGAGAAAACCGCAUGGUUUUCUUUUGAAAGAUGGCUCUGCUAUCACUUCUGGAUGGACCCGCGGCGUAUUAGCUAGUUGGUGAGGUAAAGGCUCACCAAGGCAGUGAUACGUAGCCGACCUGAGAGGGUAAUCGGCCACAUUGGGACUGAGACACGGCCCAGACUCCUACGGGAGGCAGCAGUAGGGAAUCUUCCACAAUGGACGCAAGUCUGAUGGAGCAACGCCGCGUGAGUGAAGAAGGGUUUCGGCUCGUAAAGCUCUGUUGUUAAAGAAGAACGUGGGUAAGAGUAACUGUUUACCCAGUGACGGUAUUUAACCAGAAAGCCACGGCUAACUACGUGCCAGCAGCCGCGGUAAUACGUAGGUGGCAAGCGUUAUCCGGAUUUAUUGGGCGUAAAGCGAGCGCAGGCGGUCUUUUAAGUCUAAUGUGAAAGCCUUCGGCUCAACCGAAGAAGUGCAUUGGAAACUGGGAGACUUGAGUGCAGAAGAGGACAGUGGAACUCCAUGUGUAGCGGUGAAAUGCGUAGAUAUAUGGAAGAACACCAGUGGCGAAGGCGGCUGUCUGGUCUGCAACUGACGCUGAGGCUCGAAAGCAUGGGUAGCGAACAGGAUUAGAUACCCUGGUAGUCCAUGCCGUAAACGAUGAUUACUAAGUGUUGGAGGGUUUCCGCCCUUCAGUGCUGCAGCUAACGCAUUAAGUAAUCCGCCUGGGGAGUACGACCGCAAGGUUGAAACUCAAAAGAAUUGACGGGGGCCCGCACAAGCGGUGGAGCAUGUGGUUUAAUUCGAAGCUACGCGAAGAACCUUACCAGGUCUUGACAUCUUCUGACAGUCUAAGAGAUUAGAGGUUCCCUUCGGGGACAGAAUGACAGGUGGUGCAUGGUUGUCGUCAGCUCGUGUCGUGAGAUGUUGGGUUAAGUCCCGCAACGAGCGCAACCCUUAUUACUAGUUGCCAGCAUUAAGUUGGGCACUCUAGUGAGACUGCCGGUGACAAACCGGAGGAAGGUGGGGACGACGUCAAAUCAUCAUGCCCCUUAUGACCUGGGCUACACACGUGCUACAAUGGAUGGUACAACGAGUCGCGAGACCGCGAGGUUAAGCUAAUCUCUUAAAACCAUUCUCAGUUCGGACUGUAGGCUGCAACUCGCCUACACGAAGUCGGAAUCGCUAGUAAUCGCGGAUCAGCAUGCCGCGGUGAAUACGUUCCCGGGCCUUGUACACACCGCCCGUCACACCAUGAGAGUUUGUAACACCCAAAGCCGGUGGGGUAACCU